UACUGCGCCGCUGCGGAGAUCCCGCGUGUCGCUGCAUGUUUUCGCGCGCAAUUGUUAUUUAGAAAAUGGCGUCUCGAGACUCGUUCGAAAAAGAACAAAAACGUCUUCAAGACCUGUUUGAUGCAGCGUCUACCCCUGAAUCGAGUCAAGACCCAUUUGGGUGACUAUGAAUCUGAUGCUGAGUGCUUACGACGUUUACGCCUAUAUCCGUUCUGUCAUAUCAUAUGAUUUUUUAACCAUGUGUUGUUACACUACGCCCCUGGGCAAUGUAUGAAAAAAAGUAGUGUCUCAUUAGCUUCAACCUGUAAGAUUGUACUGUCCGCGAACGUGAUAUC